AGUAGGAUAGCUGGGUCAAAUAGUGUUACAUUCCAAGUUUUCUAAGCAUUUUCUGUACUGCUUUCCAGAUUAGUUGCACCAGUUUGCAGUCCCACCAGCAAU
rnacentral:pre_miRNA from 1 species